rnacentral:lncRNA from 1 species
GCCAAUAAGUGCAUUUCCCUUAACUCUCCUGUGACGAUCACAUGACAGCUUCCCAACAAUCUCUUUAGUGCAGGAUUGCCCCAUCACUGUCUUCACAGCUCACAUGGCAAUUAUGGUUUACAGAGAGGUAAGUGAAAGUACUUUGAAAAACUAUGAAAUUGCAAAAAAAAUUGGAUUUUUAAUUUUCAUUAAACUGUCUCUUUCUAUGAUGUAUCCCUUUCUCCAUCCAUAUAACUUCCCUCACAAGACAAUAUAAUAUAUUUUCUUUAAAAGUGUCAAAGUUUUGUGCCAAAAAGAAACAAAGAAACAAAAGUUCAGAUUUAAGAACCGUCAAAUGCACAUUAACCGUACAAAUUGUGUGCGAGAGAAACCAAAAUUAUUUAUCCAUGUUGGCUUCCAGAUAACAAAUGCUCUUCAAUUAUUAUGCAGAUGUUAGAAGGUUUUUUGCAGCCAUAUGUACCACAACCUUCAGACAUAUCUAUUUAUCAGAUUUUUGGUCAAAUCCAUUCAUACCUUUGGAUGUUACUCUUCAUGUAGCACAAAAUCUUGUUCAUGUAACUAUGAUACAAAAGCAAGUAUAUUUUCUCCUUGCCCAAAAAGAGUUCCUUUCUUGAAUACAAUAGCAUGUUCAUUUACACAAUUGCCUAUUUAUGAGUUAUGCAACAAAUAAAAUGUAUAUGACUUCCCUUUGCUUUGAGGCAAAUCAUACCAUUCCUUCAGUGUAGUAUUAAUGCUGUGCUCUAAACUGAAUUAAAUAAACCUCACAGGUUAGACAUUCUUCUGUCCUCAUGCCGGCUUUUUGGCAGUACCUAAGGUAAUGGAACUGCUUCAGAAACUCCUCAAUGUUUUGGGCAAUUAAGAAACACCUAAGUGCAUCUCCCAUGUCCUGGUCCACAACUAUCUACUGCAGGAACAAAUAAAUGUUCACUCUCUUCCUAAUAAAUUAGGCUACUUCCUUAUUACAAAUAAAACCAGAUGCAAUCCAAUCCACAAAGACCAACUAAAUUGUACAUCAGUCAGAGAAAUAACUAUUAUUCUUGAAAACAAUGACAUGGUCCAAAUGAGUUGCGUAAGUCUCUGUCACCAAAGAUAUAUUCACACCUAAUUGUGUAAGACUAUCAUUCUGUCCUGGUUCUGUGAAAAUCAAGCAACUAUGCAAAUUUCACUAGAUGCUGAAAUAAUAAGAUUGAAGAGUAAAAAGAUCUUUGAUUUUAAAUUAAAAAAUAGCUAGUGACAUCAACAAAGACUUUUAUAAGCAACAGAAACAUUCGUAAAAAGUUUGACUCCUUCACUAAUUAUACCUCAAAAGUGCUGGAAGAAUAUUAUAUACUCAUGGAAAGGUGGGAGAAUUUCAAUUCAAGCUCUGCCACUCCAUUACUCAUAGAAUUCUACUAAGAAAUCCUGCAUGAACUUGUGGCUUCUCUCUGCUCUCACUUUACUAGCCUGAAAUUUUUCCCAGUUAAGCACAGUAAAGAGGACCUUGAAUGUUCUCUAUGCACUCAAGCAUACACCCUACACUAGAACAAACAAGAAUGACAGUAGAACACCAUCACUGGUUUUAAAAUUGAGAACUAGCAAAUAAGGAUGGUCAAAGGCAACAUGAGGAUGCAACAAAGUUACAAAGGAUAGGUUAAUUGUCAGUUUCAAGUUAUGGGUCACUGACAGCUGCUUUUCUUUUGAAGGUAGAGGGGUGGAGUCCAAAGAUAACAAACGAUGCUAGAACAACUACAGUACAAGAAUAGAUUGACUUGAAUUUAGAAAAUUCUACAGAUAGCAUAUGCAUAUGGACAUGAAUACAGGUAUAAUUGUAACAAUGCAUGUCGACACGAACUGAAAUGCUCAUGGACCAAGAAACCCCAAUUAUCUGUAUUCUGAAAUUGAUAGCCUUACUUGUUAUAUCAGAUUAUGCAAAAAUUGAAAUUGAAUCUUAUAUAUGAGAUGCAACACCUCUUAAAACUAAUAUUUCUAUCUGUCUUCCAUAGUUAUAUCUAUGCACACAAGUAGAGGGAUACUUCAAAAGAUCUUCAUGCCUAUUGCUUGUUAUCUAUAGAAUUCUCUAUAGUAUAUAGAGCAAGUUUCAUGUUUUUCACUUACCGACCUUUGUCUUCAUCAAAUCCUUCAGUUUGAAAAGUUUCUCAUGGAAAUGAUUAAUUGUAGUUUGCUUUCCUUUUUUCUUUAAAUAUGCUUGCUUUGAUAAACCCUAUCAUGGUAAUAUCUUAGGAUCAUCUAGUAUUGGUUCUUACUUGCACCAAAUGUAAAACAUUGAGCAAUUCCUGAAACAAAACAAAUUAACUAACACAUGCUCAUGCAGAAGAAAUGCUCCAAAAAAUUGAAAACACGAAGUGAAAAAAAUACACCACUCCUUAUGGGUCAUUCAAAUGUCCAGAAACCUCCAUGUAACUGUAAGUGUAUUACCCAGAAGCCAAGUGGUACAAUAACAGAUGAUUUACCUGACAGAAGACAUAUACGGCCUUCUACUUUAAUUUUGUAGGCUAAUAAAAAUCAGAGUAAAUUACAAAAGCCUUGUAAAUGAUUCCAAUAGUAUGAUUUUUAUCCAAUACUUCAACCCAUAACUUAACAACACGUUAGUCAAACCAUGUAGCUUUAAAUGGGACUCAACUACCACAUCAGAAAAAGAAAAAAAUAAAUAAAUAAUGCAUCAAAAUAACCUUAAGUGACAUAACCAGUGAAGGACAUAAGAAAACGUAUGUAUCCUCGUCCCCACUCAAGGGCAACUUCGAUCUUUCACAGGAGAUAAACGGUUUGUUGGGCGAGUGUGGGGGCUUUGCAAUUUAAUCUAAAAAGUACCUACUAAACCAAUUUAACGAUUCUGUGGAAAUCUGCUGUGUUCAUUCAUUUAGAGGAAUAAGUUCUCAAGAGCUACAAACAACUUCACACAACCAUAGACAACGUGCAUUAAAAAUCGCUUAGUAAAUUCCAAGGUAAUGAUAUGAUGGUAAAAGCGACAACCUUAAUUCAUGUAAGUGGAGUGACCGGUGGAAACAUACAGCUUCAAAAUUUAGACAUAUUUGACGACCGAAGAGCGCAAUUAUCAACAACCUCAAAUCAACCAAGCAUACCAAAUGGGAAUCGAACCAAUGCGCAGGAGCAUCCAUUAAAAAGAUGAUAUAAUUGGGCUAUCAGGCCGCAGCAUCAAAUGAGCAUAAUUUAAAGGCAAAAAGAACCAAGCGAAGGGGAUACAGGGGGGAAAGGGGUGAGGAAUGCCUUGCUAUCUCCAAGCUUUGAAGGGAGGAAUCCAAGCCCUCCUCUUCGGCGAGGGAGAGGGCCGCGUCAUGGGAGCCCUCCCAUGGUCGAAACCACCAUCUCCGGCGUCCCGGCUCCAUCUCCUCUCCUCUCCUCUCUUGCCAUCAGAUGGAACAACCAAGGAAGGAGGUCUCCAGGAGACUGAAGAUGAGAAGGAAAAUUUUUCACAAC